rnacentral:misc_RNA from 1 species
ACGUUCUGGGGGUCGUUGCGGUUGGUUUGUUACGGGUGGUUGGCUCUUUGCUUGUGCAACAACUUCCACCUGGCUUACCUUCUCAGUUGUGCGUUAAGGCUUGUCUUGCCUUGAACGUAUUGUGGGUUUCGUGUGUUGGCUACCUAUUUGACGGUAUCGUUAAAGUCAAAAAAGUCCCUUUUCGUCUUUCGUUGCACUUGUAGCGUGGGAUGAACCACAAAGCACUCUCUUUGAUCCACCUUGUCGAUGUAUGUGCGUUGAUGUUGUGGCCCAUUGAGAGUUGUCUGGUCUCGUGGAUACAGAACUUGAUGUGGGCAUUGGGUCUAAUAUAGCUAGAUCCUUGUUGUCCUCCUUAAGCGUUGUUGCUUCUCUAAACGACAGUCUUCUACGCAUUGGCUCGUACCAGCGUGGUAGACUAUGUCGAAGAGGAAUGCUACCUGGUUGAUCCUGCCAGUAGUCAUAUGCUUGUCUCAA